GAGUUUGAUCUUGGCCAGGACGAACGCUGGCGGCGUGCUUAACACAUGCAAGUCGAACGGAAAGGCCCGCUUGCGGGUGCUCGAGUGGCGAACGGGUGAGUAACACGUGGGUAACCUGCCCCCUGCUUCGGGAUAACUCCGGGAAACCGGGGCUAAUACUGGAUAUUCAUUGCUGGUCGCAUGGCUGGUGGUGGAAAGUUUUUUCGGCUGGGGAUGGGCCCGCGGCCUAUCAGCUUGUUGGUGGGGUGAUGGCCUACCAAGGCUUCGACGGGUAGCCGGCCUGAGAGGGCGACCGGCCACACUGGGACUGAGACACGGCCCAGACUCCUACGGGAGGCAGCAGUGGGGAAUAUUGCGCAAUGGGCGGAAGCCUGACGCAGCGACGCCGCGUGAGGGAUGACGGCCUUC
rnacentral:rRNA from 1 species